rnacentral:rRNA from 1 species
GCGCAGCAGCUACGAAAACUGCACAAUGUGGGAAACCACGAUGCGGGCAUUCCGAGUGCCAACGCUUUGCGUUGGCUGUUCCCUCGCCUAAAAAGCGAGAGAAGUAAGGGCCGGGUAAGACGGGUGCCAGCCGCCGCGGUAAUACCCGCGGCCCGAGUGGUGCUCAUUAUUAUUGAGCUUAAAGCGUCCGUAGCCGGCCUCGUAAAUCUUUGGGUAAAUCGGGCAGCUUAACUGUUCGAACUCCGAGGAGACUGCGAGGCUCGGGACCGGGAGAGGUCAGAGGUACUCUCGGGGUAGGGGUAAAAUCCUGUAAUCCUGAGAGGACCACCAGUGGCGAAGGCGUCUGACUAGAACGGAUCCGACGGUGAGGGACGAAGCCCUGGGGCGCAAACGGGAUUAGAUACCCGGGUAGUCC